rnacentral:lncRNA from 1 species
AAAAAAAAGAAAAUAAGCCCGUUUUCUAAUAAAACAGUCGCUGUUUAUGGCUUUCCUGCAUUAUAAGGAAAGAGUACCCAUUUUCUCAAAAACAAAUUUAUUUAUCGAAAUAAAAUAAACAUAAAGGCGUUUUACAGUUAACCACCCACUAUUUACGGCUUGCCUCCAUAAAUUAUCCACUUCACUAUUUUUCAUAAGUUAAUUUACUAGUUGGAUAAAAUUGGAAUAAAAUUAGGUUGAACAGCAAAUUACCCUUUAGGAUAAAAUUGAAAUACAGGAAAGUAACUUAUAGCAAGUUUUAACUCCGUUUCCACUACAAAAAAUCUUCUGCAAUUGUUUUUGCAAACGCAAGAAGAAUAAUUCAUAAAGACUCAAGAAACCUUUACAACCGUUAUGCAAAAGCAACUUAUUCAUUCUAAAAUUUUAGCAUCAAUUUGAUUACCUAUUGGACGUAUCAACGUCAAUAAGAUAAUAUGUAUUUUUUGAUACACGAG